AUUUUCUUUAGUUAGUUUGUGCUUGCAGUGCAAUUUGGAAAAAUGAUUGAACCAAUCAUCCCCUUUUGGGGUGUUGUCGGAAUUAGCAUUGUUUAUUUCAUCGGAAGCGUUUCGGAAAGUUUUCCAGAACGAAUUAGGAUUGUCUUCAGCAGCCUUUUCUAGUUCAAUUAGCAUGUCGUUUUGAAAUUUAGUUCUUUUUCUUUCUAAAGUUUCUUUGUAGGUUUUGAGAGCAGUAUGGUAGGCUUCUCUUAUAGCCAAAUUUGUUGGGUCUCUAUGUUUUUGAUUUGCAAUUUUACGUAAUUCAUGUCUUUUUAAAUCGACAUUCCUUAUCAAACCAUUUUUUGUUUGCUACGUUGUUUAUUUUUCUUCUAGUUUUCUUUUUUCUUAUUUUCAAAGAUUUUUUGCUGUGUGAGUUAUAAUAUUUUGGAAUUCAGUCACACAUUCAUUAACUCGAUCCAUUUUCGUCAUUAGUGAAUGUGGACUGCAG